UGAACGUUCGAGGAUCACAAUUGUGCGUGUGAUGGAGAUUACAUUGAUAAGUUAUGGAACUGAAGGCUCACAUGGUAGAAAAGAUACUUUCACUCUUCAAGAGGUAACCCGUGAAAUCUCGUUUAUGCUAGUUGCCUAGAUUACAUGUGAUUUUGUUACUGGGAUUGCGUCCGCUGCUUAUUAUAAUCCAUCAAUUGGUAUCAGAGCUCACUCACAUCUAAUUAGAUAACUAAGUUUUUCUUGAAACAAGAAUAUGGUGUUCAUGUGCGUUUUUUUAAAUUACAUAUAUAUGUGAUUUUCUGAAAAACUGCACUGUUGUUUUGUGAAUUAGCUAUGCAAAAAUUUUAGAUUAUUCUUGUAAUCAUGAGAUAUUUGUUUUCUUAUUGAUAUUUAAUUUUCGGAGAUCAGCGAACUUGAUGGACUCUGAUUGAGCUAAAAUUUGGUGAUUCCAUCGGAGUUUUUUGGAAGUUUGAGGUCGUUUGGACUGUAUUUUGGACGUUUUUCUAUUUUCGGAAAAUUAUUUCUUAAUAAUUUUAAUUUCUUUUUAAUUCAAU
rnacentral:lncRNA from 1 species